CCUACGGGAGGCAGCAGUGAGGAAUAUUGGUCAAUGGACGAGAGUCUGAACCAGCCAAGUAGCGUGAAGGAUGACUGCCCUAUGGGUUGUAAACUUCUUUUAUAAAGGAAUAAAACGAGGCACGUGUGCCUUUUUGCAUGUACUUUAUGAACAAGGAUCGGCGAACUCCGUGCCUGCAGCCGCGGUAAUCCGGAGGAUCCGUGCGUUGUCCGGAUUUAUUGGGUUUAAAGGGAGCGUAGAUGGGUUGUUAAGUCGGUUGUGAAAGUUUGCGGCUCAACCGUAAAAUUGCAAUUGAUACUGGCAGUCUUGAGUACAGGUGAGGUAGGCGGAAUUCGUGGUGUAGCAGUGAAAUGCUUAGAUAUCACGAAGAACCCCGAUGGCGAAGGCAGCUUACUAAACUGUGACUGACAUUGAUGCUCGAAAGUGUGGGUAGCAAACAGGAUUAGAUACCCCAGUAGUC
rnacentral:rRNA from 1 species